CAACCGGGAUUGCCCUAGUAACGGCGAGUGAAGCGGCAAGAGCUCAAAUUUGAAAGCUGGCCCCUGCGGGGUCCGCAUUGUAAUUUGCAGAGGAUGCUUCGGGAGCGGUCCCCAUCUAAGUGCCCUGGAACGGGCCGUCAUAGAGGGUGAGAAUCCCGUAUGGGAUGGGGUGCCCGCGCCCGUGUGAAGCUCCUUCGACGAGUCGAGUUGUUUGGGAAUGCAGCUCUAAUUGGGUGGUAAAUUUCAUCUAAAGCUAAAUAUUGGCCGGAGACCGAUAGCGCACAAGUAGAGUGAUCGAAAGAUGAAAAGCACUUUGAAAAGAGAGUUAAACAGCACGUGAAAUUGUUGAAAGGGAAGCGCUUGCGAUCAGACUCGCUCCCGGGGUUCAGCCGGCAUUCGUGCCGGUGUACUUCCCCGGGGGCGGGCCAGCGUCGGUUUGGGCGGCCGGUCAAAGGCCCCUGGAAUGUAACGCCUCUCGGGGCGUCUUAUAGCCAGGGGUGCCAUGCGGCCUGCCCGGACCGAGGAACGCGCUUCGGCUCGGACGCUGGCAUAAUGGUCGUAAGCGACCCGUCUUGAAACACGGACCAAGGAGUCUAACAUCUACGCGAGUGUUCGGGUGUCAAACCCGUGCGCGCAGUGAAAGCGAACGGAGGUGGGAACCCCCCGGGGUGCACCAUCGACCGAUCCUGAUGUCUUCGGAUGGAUUUGAGUAAGAGCGUAGCUGUUGGGACCCGAAAGAUGGUGAACUAUGCCUGAAUAGGGCGAAGCCAGAGGAAACUCUGGUGGAGGCUCGCAGCGGUUCUGACGUGCAAAUCGAUCGUCAAAUUUGGGUAUAGGGGCGAAAGACUA
rnacentral:rRNA from 1 species